CACUAGUACUGAACUAGUACUGCUACUACUUUUCAUCAAAAGAAGAAAUGGAGACGAAAUCGCCAUGUCCGCCGUACACGGUGACCGUUCGCCGGAACCCUCCCCGGAGAGCAAGACCGACACCAUCCUCCGCUGUUCCUACUACGCUUCCCCGAUCGCCGCCGCCAAACAUCUCUUCAUUCCCCAUUGAGGAUAUUCUAUCAAUAGAAGUCCCUGAAAAACAACUUCUUACGGAGCAUCCAUCAUCAUCAGAGAAUCUCAAGGUAUAUCUGAGAGUUCGACCAUUAAUUUCUCAACGAGAAACAGCGAAAAUAGAAAAAACGGCUGCUGAAAUGAAGAAAACAACUAAAAAUGCUUGGCCUAAAAACCCUAAGUCCACCAAUGCGUUGCCGAAGAAGCUCAAAAAGAGUAAUGAAGUCUGCGUGACAGUGAAUGAUGCACAUUCCGUUACCCUAUUGCCUCCGCAGAGCUUACAAGACGCCAAACGUAUUAAAUCAGAAGUUUAUGAAGGUUUUUCACAUGUCUUCUCGUCACAAGCUUCUCAGAGGGAAGUGUACGAAGAAAUAGUGAAUCCUUUAGUUGAGGAUUUUUUGAAGGGUAAGAGUGGAAUGUUAGCUGCAUUGGGACCAAGUGGUUCUGGGAAGACUCAUACCAUCUUUGGCUGUGGAAGGGACCCUGGUAUGGUGCCUCUUGCUCUUCGUCGAAUUUUAUCACAGGAAGAAGGAGAGAAGAAGAAGUCGCGAAGGAUAUUUUAUUUGUCCAUGUUUGAGAUCUCUUCUGAGAAAGGAAAAUCUGAAAAGAUAUUUGAUUUAUCACAAGAUGGGGCUGAUUUAUGCAUCCAACAAUCAUCUAUUAAAGGCGUGCGAGAGGCCGUACUUUAUGAUGCGCAGCAAGCUGAAUCGUUAAUCGCAUGUGGACUUUUAAAACGUGCGACAGCUAUGACGAAUUCAAACAGUCAAUCUAGUCGUUCACAGUGCAUCAUAAAUAUCCGCUGUGAAUAUAAGAGGGCAGAUGGAAAAGUUGGUGAUAAUUCAAACAGUGCUGUGCUGACUAUAGUUGACCUUGCUGGAGCUGAGAGGGAAAAGAAGACUGGAAAUCAGGGGGUUAGAUUGCUCGAAAGUAAUUUUAUCAACAACACUUCGAUGGUGUUUGGCCUGUGCUUAAAGUCAUUACUGGAGCAUCAGAAGAACCCCAGAAAACCUAUGCAGAAACACUUUCAAAACUCUCUGUUGACCAGAUACUUACGAGAUUAUUUGGAAGGGAAGAAGCGGAUGGCAUUGCUUCUAACUGUAAGACCUGGGGAAGAAGACUACCUUGAUACUUCUUUUCUGCUAAGGCAGGCUUCACCAUAUACAAAAAUCAAGUUUGACAUUGUUGAAGAACAUGGGAUUUUAAAGCACAAUAAGAGGCCUGUGCAAACAACGCCUAGCAUGGGGAAGCUUAAAAGAAUGAAGUUGAGUCGAAUUGAAAAUUGUGAGAUCAAUCAAAGAAGCUAUGAAUGUCAACUUCCGAAUGAAGAAGCUGCUGUGGAAGGAGUGAAGGAUGACAGCUUGGCAGACGUUCUUGUUCAGCCUGAGGAGAUCAUCACUAUUGAAGCAAAUGAGAGGAAUAUUCUCAGAGUUGAUCACGUGGAAUUGGAAAGAAAAGAGAGAAAUCAUCAGAUUCUGCAAAAUUUUGGAAAGGCUUUGUGGAAAGUCUUGAAAGAAUACAAGAGAAAACUUGAGGUGGCUGAAAAUGAAAUUUGCACCCUCAGAGAUUGCUUAAGUAGUGAGAAAACUAGAUCCGCUGAACUAGAGAAUCAACUGAGGGAUUGGCAAAGUAACUGCUGCUGCAGGAAAGGAGUUUCAAGUGAGGAAUCCUCCAGAGAAGAGGAUGAAUUCAGAGGAAAAGGUUCAUUAGAUUGUGAGGCGCGUCAAUCCACUGAUCAGAAUGAGGUGGAUGAAAAUGAAACCUGCACUCCUAGAGACUGCAUAAUCAUCGAGAAAACAAGAUGGGCUGAACUAGAGAAUGAACUGAUGGAUUGGCAAAGUAACUGCUGCUGCAGGAAGGGGGUUUCAAGUGAGGUUUCCUUCAGAGAAGUGGAUGAACUCAGAAGAAAAAGUUCUUUAGAUCUUGAGGAUCAUCAAUCCAUUGGCUGCAAUGAGGUGACGUCUGAAGCUUAUUCUUGUCCUUUGGAAGGAUCUGCGCAUGCGAGAAAUGAUGAGCGGCUUGACUCCACUAUUGCUCAGCAGCUCGAAAGUUCUAUUGAAGAUGCUACUGGUGUUGAAGAUCUGAUGAAACCAAAUGAAAUGAAAGCAGAGAUUACACAGUUGAAUGGCAAAGCAACUGCUGUAUUAAGCGGGUCACACUCUUGCACUGAUCAGGAGUACGAGCAAGAAGAAGAAAGUUCUGGUAAUUCUGUAGUCCGCACUUCCAAAGCGACUUUCAUAAACAGAGAUGAGAACGACCUGUUGGAAGAGGACCGCACGUUUUCUGAUUCAGUACUUCCAGAAUGUUCAGUCAGCUCUUCUAAGUCAUCUCUCUUCGUUGGAAAUAAGAGCCCUUUUCAAAUGUGGGAGGACCAAACACAAAAAGAAGAGGACAAGGUGAAGUCAGAUGCACAUACGGGAACUGAGGAGCGGCUUGACUCCACAACUGCCCAGAAGCUUGAAAGAUCUAUUGAAGAUAUUACUGGUGUUGAAGUUCCGAAGAUUCCAGAUGGAAUGAAAGCAGAGAGUAUAAAUUUGAAAGGCAAAGAAAAUGCUCUGUUAUGUGGGUCACCCUCUUGCACUGAUCAGGAGUACGAGCAAGAAGAGGAAAGUUUUGUCUGCACUUCCCAAGCGACUUCCGUAAACAGAGACGAGAACGACCUGUUGGAAGAGGACCACACGCUUUUUGAUUCAGUACUUCCAGAAUGUACAGUCAACUCUUCUGAGUCAUCUCUCUUCAUUGAAAAUAACCGCUCUUUUCCAGUGGUGGAGGACCAAACACAAAACAAAGAGGAUAAGACUGCUGAGCAGCUCGAAAGUUCUAUUGAAGAUGCUACUGGUGUUGAAGAUCUGAUGAAACCAAAUAAAAUGAAAGCAGAGAUUACAUGUUUGAAUGGCAAAGCAACUGCUGUAUUAAGUGGGUCACGCUCUUGUACUGAUCAGGGGGACGGGCAAGAAAUGGAAAGCUCUGGUAGUAGUAAAGUUCUGAAUCCUAUUGGCGUUGAAGAUCUGAAUCCUACCGGUGUUGAAAAUCUGAUGAAACCAAAUAAAAUGGAAGCAGAGAUUACACGUUUGAAUGGCAAAGCAACUGCUAUAUUAAGUGGGUCACGCUCUUGUACUGCUCAGAAGGACGGGGAAGAAAUGGAAAGUUCUGAUUUUGCAGUCUGCACUUCCCAAGCAACUUUCAUAAAUGAAGACGAGGCCAGCCCGUUCGAAGAGGAUCAUGCCCUUUUUGAUUCAGGACUUCCAGAAUGUACAGUCAACUCUUCUGAGUCAUCUGUCGUCGUUGAAUAUAACAACUCUUUUGCAGUGGUGGAGAACCAAACACAAAGUGAAGAGGACAAGCGACUAAUUUGCCUUCCCUUACCAGUAUAUGCAUGGAAGAUAUUUUCGAGAUUUUUCUUCUGCUCCAUUUAUCAGAAAGAAACCAUUGGGUCCAUCGACAAUGUUAAUGCCCGAGGAAGUUGUACAUGCUCUAGGAUGCCAUGAUAACAACACACCUGAAGCAGUUACCAAAUAUGGUUCCUGCACUAAAUUUCAGAAUGCAGAUAGGCCAAAAAGGAGACUUCUACCAGUUUCGUCUAUCUUAUUAAAAGAUAUAGGCAAUAUAGACUUCAAGGACGAGAAUGAGAAACCAAAGGGAGUCAAGGCAGAAAAGAAAGGAUCUUCUCGUAAGAACAGAACCCAGGGCAGCACUUCGCUUUUUCGUUUGCUCAAGGAUAAUCUUGCUAUCUAGUUCAUUAUGGACUGCAUUCAAGGUUUCCUCUGCAAUAAACGACACUGUUCUAGGGGUGUAAGUUUGAGAUUGUAUAUAAGGUCAUUCAAAUCCUUUUGACGACUCGCAGUUGCUUUUUGUGCCUCACAAACAGCAUCUUUGUUUAAACUGGCUAGACCUUUUCCUUUAGGAAGAGGCCUAACUCCUCAAAAUGCUACUCUGAUUAUUUUGAAAGCUCGUGAGCUUCUCUGAGAAUUGUAAUGCCUUUAUUUUUUCUAACGUCCACGUGAUUUUAAAUCUUUUUUUUGUCCCAGAAUUAUUUUAUAUUCAAGUAUUUAUGGAUGACAAGGUUCAUAUAUGUUCUCCGUGGACAAUAUAUUACUUUGGGAUAACAUUUUCUGCA